CCCAAGAUGAGAUCCCCCUUCCUUCGGGAGAAAGACCGCCAGAAGACUACUGGUUUAAUAGGCGGCAGGUGUAAGCGCAGCAAUGCGUUAAGCUUAGCCGAUGCUAAUGGUCGAGGGCUUAC
rnacentral:rRNA from 1 species